ensembl:misc_RNA Metazoa_SRP Metazoan signal recognition particle RNA
GCCGGGCAUGGUGGCUCACGCCUGUAAUUCCAGCACUUUGGGAGGCUGAGGCAGGUGGAUCACCUGAGGUCAGGAGUUCAAGACCAGCCUGACCAACAUGGUGAAACCCUGUCUCUA